rnacentral:rRNA from 1 species
AUUGAACGCUGGCGGCAGGCUUAACACAUGCAAGUCAAGCGGAGAGAGGUAGCUUGCUACUGAUCUUAGCGGCGGACGGGUGAGUAAUGCCUAGGAAUCUGCCUAUUAGUGGGGGACAACAUUUCGAAAGGAAUGCUAAUACCGCAUACGUCCUACGGGAGAAAGCAGGGGAUCUUCGGACCUUGCGCUAAUCGAUGAGCCUAAGUCGGAUUAGCUAGUUGGUGGGGUAAAGGCCUACCAAGGCGACGAUCUGUAGCGGGUCUGAGAGGAUGAUCCGCCAUACUGGGACUGAGACACGGCCCAGACUCCUACGGGAGGCAGCAGUGGGGAAUAUUGGACAAUGGGCGGAAGCCUGAUCCAGCCAUGCCGCGUGUGUGAAGAAGGCCUUAUGGUUGUAAAGCACUUUAAGCGAGGAGGAGGCUACUUUAGUUAAUACCUAGAGAUAGUGGACGUUACUCGCAGAAUAAGCACCGGCUAACUCUGUGCCAGCCGCCGCCGUAACAC